CCCCAUAACGUGGUUCCCCCCCCCAGGUCUUGUCAGGGUCUACGUCUACAUGGGCUACAUCAUGAAGAUGCUGACCCUACAAAUCUUCCCCAUCUUCGCUUUCCACCCCAUGUACCUGGCCAUAAUGCAGUUGAAGGAAGUCGUGUUGGAUUCCACUGCACUGAUACGUGUUGGGCACAAUGGGAGCACAGUGUGAGUUGGGGCAUCAAACCUAAACCCAUUUUGGGGUCAUUUCAGCCUUUUUUGGGGUCAUUUCAGCCUUUUUUGGGGUCAUUUCAGCCUUUUUGGGGGUCAUUUCAGCCUUUUUUGGGGUCUUGGAGGUGAUGGUUCUGCUUUGAGGGUGGGAUCUGCCUGAGGAAAAAGCCAAAUUUGGGGUGAAAAUGGCUCAUUUUUACCCCAAAAAUGCCUCUAGAUAGGGAAGAAGGAGGAGGAUGGAGGAAUAGAUUUAGGGCCAUCCUCCCAUCACCCCCUAUGGGGCAUUAAUGGGGUCAAUGGGGGGAGCAUCACCCCCUAUGGGACGUUAAUGGGGUCAGUGGGGGGGGAAUCACCCCCUAUGGGACGUUAAUGGGGUCAGUGGGGGGGGAAUCACCCCCUAUGGGAUGUUAAUGGGGGGGGAAUCACCACCUAUGGGAUGUUAAUGGGGUCAAUGGGGGGGGAAUCACCCCCUAUGGGGUGUUAAUGGGGGAGGAAUCACCCCCUAUGGGACAUUAAUGGGGUCUAUGGGGGGGAAUCACCCCCUAUGGGACGUUAAUGGGGUCAAUGGGGGGGAAUCACCCCCUAUGGGGCGUUAAUGGGGUCAAUGGGGGGGAAUCACCCCCUAUGGGACAUUAAUGGGGGGGGAAUCACCCCGUAUGGGACGUUAAUGGGGUCAAUGGGGGGGGAAUCACCCCCUAUGGGACGUUAAUGGGGUCAAUGGGGGGGAAUCACCCCCUAUGGGACGUUAAUGGGGUCAAUGGGGGGGGAAUCACCCCCUAUGGGACAUUAAUGGGGUCAAUGGGGGGAGAAUCACCCCCUAUGGGAC
rnacentral:lncRNA from 1 species